ACGUCAUCCCCACCUUCCUCCGAGUUGACCCCGGCAGUCUCCCGCAAGUCCCCAACACCGGCGAACCGGCUUGCUGGCAAUACAGGACGAGGGUUGCGCUCGUUGCGGGACUUAACCCAACAUCUCUGGAGCCGUCAGGGCAUGUCAAGGGCUGGUAAGGUUCUGCGCGUUGCUUCGAAUUAAACCACAUGCUCCACCGCUUGUGCGGGCCCCCGUCAAUUCCUUUGAGUUUCAUUCUUGCGAACGUACUCCCCAGGCGGGAUACUUAACGCGUUAGCUACAGCACUGCACGGGUCGAUACGCACAGCGCCUAGUAUCCAUCGUUUACGGCUAGGACUACUGGGGUAUCUAAUCCUGUU
rnacentral:misc_RNA from 1 species